AAGGUGUCCACAACGGACUCAAUAGGGAACCGGGUGAAAGUCCCGGACAGUUCCCGCUGCUGUAAAUUCAUAAAGCACCUGUCAAUACGUCACUGGACGUCUCAAACAUCCGGGAAGACAACAGGCGUAAGGAAUAAGUCAGAAGACCUACCUCUCACUA
rnacentral:ncRNA from 1 species